GGCGUAAGCUAUCGCUUUUGGAUGGACCCGCGGCGUAUUAGCUAGUUGGUGAGGUAACGGCUCACCAAGGCGAUGAUACGUAGCCGAACUGAGAGGUUGAUCGGCCACAUUGGGACUGAGACACGGCCCAAACUCCUACGGGAGGCAGCAGUAGGGAAUCUUCCACAAUGGACGCAAGUCUGAUGGAGCAACGCCGCGUGAGUGAAGAAGGCUUUCGGGUCGUAAAACUCUGUUGUUGGAGAAGAAUGGUCGGCAGAGUAACUGUUGUCGGCGUGACGGUAUCCAACCAGAAAGCCACGGCUAACUACGUGCCAGCAGCCGCGGUAAUACGUAGGUGGCAAGCGUUAUCCGGAUUUAUUGGGCGUAAAGCGAGCGCAGGCGGUUUUUUAAGUCUGAUGUGAAAGCCCUCGGCUUAACCGAGGAAGCGCAUCGGAAACUGGGAAACUUGAGUGCAGAAGAGGACAGUGGAACUCCUU
rnacentral:rRNA from 1 species